CAACAGUUUGGCGAACGGUCGCCGAUACACGCUUUUAAAAAUAUAGUUGGCAGUAAGUGAAAUAACAGCAAUACUUUCAUUUUUCGAAAAGAUGCACUUUAUACACGUCGACAUUUGCAUAGCUGUGUUAAUCAUAAUUUAUUAAUAUAAUACGAGAAAACAAAAAUAAUUAUUUUUUUCGAUGAUUGUGCGUAAGUUUUUGAUCACUGAGUAUAUUAUUUUUUAGCGUGCAUUUUUCUGUGCCUCUUUCGAGACCGUGAAAAAAACAACAACCAAAACCUCGGUCGCGAAAAGUUUGUUCCGUUUUUUCCUUCAAGGAUGCAGAAAAACAGCGAUGGGACAUUCCCAGCAAACAUUUCCACGGAAUAAGAGCUGAACCAACCACUCUCAAUCAUAUUUCAGCUGAAUAAGCUGUUAUUCAGCUACUAUUGUUUGUUGGGUUGUGCGGCCUACGGCUUGAGGAAACAGUUCAACAAAAGGAGAAUUGAAGACCCGGCUACCGUCUGGGCCACAAGAAAAAUACGCAUCAAAAACGAUUUCAAACCACGUCCGUAGCAACAUCUUCCUGUUACACCGACGGACUUGUACCCCGGCAGCAGCAUCACCAGAAUACCAGAUAUAAUCCUCGGCAGGAUUAUAUCCAUAAUCCCGAUCCUUGCUUAAUCAUCCCGGGAGGGCCAGUAGACGACCGACGAUUUUUUGUAAUUUUCGAGCUUCUGAAUGCUCAACGGGAACGAGCAGGACGGAUAAUGAAAAUUCUGAUUUAAGCUCAAGUUUUGUGUUUAUAAAUAAUAUAGCAUAAUGAAAUACAGAAAAAAAAA